UACGUAGGGACCGAGCGUUGUCCGGAAUCAUUGGGCGUAAAGAGCGUGUAGGCGGUUUGGUAGGUCCGCUGUGAAAACUCGAGGCUCAACCUCGAGACGCCGGUGGAAACCAUCAGACUAGAGUCCGGAAGAGGAGAGUGGAAUUCCUGGUGUAGCGGUGAAAUGCGCAGAUAUCAGGAAGAACACCCGUGGCUAAGGCGGCUCUCUAGUACGGUACUGACGCUGAGACGCGAAAGCGUGGGGAGCGAACAGG
rnacentral:rRNA from 1 species